rnacentral:tRNA from 1 species
GUCCUGGUGGUGUAAUGGAGCGCAUCUCACUUUCCGAAGGUGAGGGUCCAGGUUCGAUCCCUGGCCGGGAUA